ensembl:snRNA U6 U6 spliceosomal RNA
GUGCUUGCUCCAUCCAGCAGCACGUAUUUUAAAAUUGGAACGAUACAGAGAUGAGUGUGGUGCCCUGCACAAGAGUGACAUGCCGAUUUGUGAAGCAUUCCAUAUUUUU